ACAAGCAGUGGGAGCACCUUCGUGGUGUGACUGCGUACCUUUUGUAUAAUGGGUCAGCGACUUAUAUUCUGUAGCAAGGUUAACCGUAUAGGGGAGCCGAAGGGAAACCGAGUCUUAACUGGGCGUUAAGUUGCAGGGUAUAGACCCGAAACCCGGUGAUCUAGCCAUGGGCAGGUUGAAGGUUGGGUAACACUAACUGGAGGACCGAACCGACUAAUGUUGAAAAAUUAGCGGAUGACUUGUGGCUGGGGGUGAAAGGCCAAUCAAACCGGGAGAUAGCUGGUUCUCCCCGAAAGCU
rnacentral:rRNA from 1 species